rnacentral:pre_miRNA from 1 species
UUAACUCAAAUUUGAAUGGAGUUGGAACGUUUGUCUAUGUUUGCCGCUAGGGGCGCUGUUCCAACUCCAUACAAAUCGAGAGA